AACUAACGCUGGCGGCGCGCCUAAUACAUGCAAGUCGAACGGGGAAGCACCUUCGGGUGUUGUACUAGUGGCGCACGGGAGAGUAACGCGUAGAUCAUCUACCUUCGAGAGAGGGAUAACUAACCGAAAGGUUGGCUAAUACCUCGUAAGACCACAGGGAUUAAUGUCCCAGGGGUAAAAGGUUUCGGCCGCUUGAAGAUGAGUCUGCGUCCCAUUAGCUUGAUGGUGGGGUAACGGCCUACCAUGGCUACGAUGGGUGACUGGUCUGAGAGGAUGAUCAGUCUCACUGGAACUGAAACACGGUCCAGACUCCUACGGGAGGCAGCAGUAGGGAAUAUUGCACAAUGGAGGAAACUCUGAUGCAGCGACGCCGCGUGAGUGAAGAAGGACUUCGGUUUGUAAAGCUCUGUUCUUAGGGAGUAAGAAAGUGAAAGUACCUAAGAAGAAAGGGGCGGCUAACUUCG
rnacentral:rRNA from 1 species